CUGUCCCUAUCUACUAUCUGCAUUGAAACCACAGCCAAGGGAACGGGCUUGGGAGAAUCAGCGAGGGAAAAGACCCUGUCGAGCUUGCUCUAGUCUGGUGUUCACUGUGACGAGAGGGGCGAGAGGUGUAGCAAAGUGGGAGGCCGUCCCGCGGCCGUCGCUGGAGCUACCACUACUCUCGUCGUCACGUCGCUCACUCGGUUAAGCAGAAACUGUACCGGUCGAAUGAUUUCGAGCGGCACAGGUUUGGUUUCAAGCGUGAAGUGAACGCUUCGCGUGGUUCGAUCGAAGACACUGCAGGCGGGGAGUUUGACUGGGGCAGGCCUGCCAAAGAAUGCGCAGGUGUCCCAAAGGCCAGCUCAGCGAGGACGGAAACCUCGCGUGGCAGAAGGGCAAAAAGCUGGAGUCGAGCAGAUGUUCAGUACGCAUAGGGACUGCGGCACGGCCUAUCGAUCUCUCUCGUAAAGAGCUUUUAGAGAGGUGCCAGAAAAGUUACCGCAGGGAUAACUGGUUUGUGGCGGCCGAGCGCCCAUAGCAACGUCGCUUUUGAUUCUUCGAUGUCGGCUCUUCCUAUCAUGGUGACGAAAUUGCUAAGUGUUUGGAUUGUUCGCAUAAAGGGAGCGUGAGCUGGGUUUAGACCGUCGUGAGACAGGUCAGUUUUACCCCACUGAUGGCGCGUCCUCGCGAUAGUAAUACUGCUAAUUCCACAGUAACCGUAUUGGUAUCGGACAUUUGGUCGUGCACUCGGCCGCGCGCCUGGCGGUGCCAACUACCAUCGUGGGAUAACGUCUGAACGCAUAUAAGACGAAACCCGUCUA